rnacentral:rRNA from 1 species
AUUGAACGCUGGCGGCAGGCCUAACACAUGCAAGUCGAACGAGUGGCGGACGGGUGAAUAAUGUCUGUGAAACUGCCUGAUGGACGGGGAUAACUUCUGGAACCGGUAGCUAAUACCGCAUACCAUCGUAUGUGCCCAGAUGGGAUUCGCUAGGAGGUGGGGUAAAGGCUCACCUAGGCGACGAUCCCUAGCUGGUCUGAGAGGAUGAUCAGUCACACUGGAACUGAGACACGGUCCAGAGUACUACGGGAGGCAGGAGUGGGGAAUAUUGGACAAUGGGCGAAAGCAUGAUCCAGCCAUGCCGAGUGUGUGAAGGAGGUCUUCGGAUUGUAAAGAACGUUAAGUUGGGAGGCGUUACCAAAAGAAUAAGCACCGGCUAACUUCGUGCCAGCAGCCGCGGUAAUUC